GAAAUAAAGUAGGCAUUUCUUGAUGGCCAUUCCUGCACUGUAGCUUCACAACCCUUUUUCCUUUCCUUGAAUUAUGUCUCACAAAAAAGAUUAGACUUUGUGAGUCAUCCUUAAGACUUAGGUGAGAUUUCACACUGCAAAAGCCCCAUACAGAACAGCUCACCUGAAUUCAGUUUACGUCUAAUAAUGGAGGAAGCAAUGGGCCACUGCCAAGCAGUCUCUCCAGAAAGCACUCCGCUCCCAUCGCCUUCUCUUUGAUAAUGAGAGAGACCUUCAGGUGCCUUUUCUGAUGUUAGCUACAGCACUGUGGCAUGUAAAGCGAAGCAGCCUCCAGAGGCAGGAGGGAGGUCCAAGGCUAUUUAGAUAACUGCAGGUCAAAAAACAGCACUCUGAAAUUGUACCUGGGGACUUGCAGGCAGCCGACACAGAUCACAGGAUGUGAAUAGGAGCAAGAGACACAACGUGAGUGGUGCUGUUUCUUGCAGACUUCCUUCUGUCAAUAAAUGCCAGAGGAAGAGAAGAUAAGUGCCAUGAUAAUUUUUGUUGUGGGGAGGAAAUUCUCACUGCAAAGAAAUCAAUAAACACCAGUGAUUCCCAUCUCUGCUGUUAUAUGGGCUUGGAAAUGCCCACAGGCAAAAUGAGAAAAACAAGGAAAAGAAAUAACAACAGGUAGGUCUCCAUACCUUCACAGAAUUCCACCUACAUGGAGAGAAUUUUUUUAAAAAAUCUAGUUUCAUCUGAUUUUAUCCCAGGGCACAUCUAUCACUUUUGCAUUUUCCUGCUUUGAACCUGUUCUCUCCAGGGACUCUCCUCUCUGCCCCCCAUGCACUGUAUUUUGUGUGCAGGUAAAGCAGAGGUUUUUCCUAGCGGCAAAGGAGGCAACCUUG
rnacentral:lncRNA from 1 species